rnacentral:rRNA from 1 species
UACGAAGGGGGCUAGCGUUGCUCGGAUUGACUAGGCGUAAAGGGCGCGUAGGCGGAUAGUACAGUCAGGCGUGAAAUUCCUGGGCUCAACCUGGGGGCUGCGUUUGAUACGUAUUGUCUGGAGUUCGGAAGAGGGUCGUGGAAUUCCCAGUGUAGAGGUGAAAUUCGUAGAUAUUGGGAAGAACACCGGUGGCGAAGGCGGCGACCUGGUCCGAUACUGACGCUGAGGCGCGAAAGCGUGGGGAGCAAACAGG